rnacentral:rRNA from 1 species
GGGCCCGCACAAGCGGUGGAGCAUGUGGUUUAAUUCGAUGAUACGCGAGGAACCUUACCAGGGCUUAAAUGCAGAACGACCGGGGUGGAAACACCCCUUUCUUCGGACGGUCUGCAAGGUGCUGCAUGGUUGUCGUCAGCUCGUGCUGUGAAGUGUCGGGUUAAGUCCCAUAACGAGCGCAACCCCUAUUUCUAGUUGCCAGCGGUUCGGCCGGGGACUCUAGAGAAACUGCCAGCGUAAGCUGUGAGGAAGGUGGGGAUGACGUCAAAUCAUCACGGCCCUUACGUCCUGGGCCACACACGUGCUACAAUGGUGGGGACAACGAGUCGCGAACCCGCGAGGGUAAGCUAAUCUUCAAACCCCAUCUCAGUUCGGAUCGGAGUCUGCAACUCGACUCUAUGAAGCUGGAAUCGCUAGUAA